AGAGUUUGAUUAUGGCUCAGGAUGAACGCUGGCGGCGUGCUUAACACAUGCAAGUUGCGCGGUGAUCUCAAGAAGUUUCGGACGGAAAGGGAGAGCAGCAGCGGACGGGUGAGUAAAGCACAAGGACUUGUCCCGAAGAGGGGGACAACUGUGGGAAACCACAGCUAAUACCCCAUAAGCCGAGAGGUGAAAGCAGCGAUGCGCUUUAGGAGAGACUUGUGUCCUAUCAGGUAGUUGGUGAGGUAACGGCUCACCAAGCCGAAGACGGGUAGCCGGACUGAGAGGUUGUACGGCCACAUUGGAACUGAGAGACGGUCCAGACUCCUACGGGAGGCAGCAGGUGGGGAAUAUUGGGCAAUGGGGGCAAACCCCCUGACCCAGCGACGCCGCGUGAGGGAAGACAGCCUUCGGGUUGUAAACCUCUGUUGCAGGGGAAGAAGAAAGUGACGGUACCCUGCGAGGAAGCUCCGGCAAACUACGUGCCAGCCGCCGC
rnacentral:rRNA from 1 species